UUACUAUAUGAAAUAAUUUUAUAAAUAAUUUUAUAUAAAAUAUACUAAUAUAAAUUAAUUAUUUUAUUUUUAAAAAUAUAUUUAGACGUUGUUCUAGACUUUUUAUCCAAACGCUAUUAAGGAUAUCCUCUAGAAUAUCCUCGAAUGCAUCCAAACACAAAUUUACAAUUGUUCAAUCUUAUACCGGAAUAUUCCCUGUUCUCGGGAACAACAAAAGUUGUUCUCCAAAAUUUAGUUCUCCAACCAAACGCAGCCUUGAUGGCCAGAGUCGGUGCACAAAAUUUCUGGGUUAAAAAUCAUGUACUUUUUUCUGAACUUACUGGAAGUUUCAAGAAGGUAUCUGA
rnacentral:lncRNA from 1 species